UGCUAUGAUGUUGUAAUUUGCGUCUUAUCUGGUAUUCAGGGACAGUUGCCUGUUGUCCAUGUGCUGUUGCCGUUGAACUGAAGACCCUUCAUGACUGAGCA